rnacentral:rRNA from 1 species
GAUUCAUUGGAGGGCAGUUUGGUCAGCAGCCGCGGUAUUCAGUCAAUGGUAAUUAGUGUUGCAGUAAAGCUGUGAGUGGAUUCGGGCGUUGAGCGGUCAGCUCAAGGAGUCAAUGCUUGGCAUCCGUACAUUCUGGAGGCAUAACUAUGGGUCAAUGAGUCCGAGGGCGUAGGGGUACGCUAGUCAUCUACUGAGGAACAUAAGUAGGGUGUAAGCAGCAGUCCUACGCGAUGAAUCAGCAGCAUGAACUAGCUACGAUACUGGUCCCUUGAUUUUGUUUGUCGGUAGACUACCGAGGAUAGAGUAAUGAUAGAGCACAGUGGGGCAUAUUCGUAUUCAUUUUGUCAGAGGGAGAAUCUUUGGAUUUGUAGGAAGACGAUCUAGUGAAAACGCUUUCAACAGGGAUGUUCUCUAUUCUCAAGAAAGAGAGGGAGGGUAUAGGAGAUGAUGAGACACUAUUGGUGUCAUAACCAUAAGCUACGCAGUAUAGGGAGGGGGGGGUGUUAUCAGCGAUUCCAUCAGCACCUUAUGAGAAAUCAAAGUCUUUGGGUUCCGGGGGGAGUAUGGUCGCAAGGCUGAAACUUAAAGAAAUUGACGGAAGGGCACCACCGGGAGGGGACCUUGCGGCUUAUUUUGACUCACCACGGAGAAACUUCCCAGGUCCAGACAUAGAGAGGAUUGACAGAUUGAGACUUCUUUUUGGUUUUUAUGGGUGGUGGUGCAUGCCCGUUUUUAGUGGGGGGAGGGAUUUUAGGGUUAAUUCCGUAAACAAACGAGACUCCCCCCUGCUAACUAGUCGCCUUAAUGCCCGGCAUUGAGGUGUACUUUUUAGGAGGGACAGUCGGUGAUUAAUCAAAGGAAGUUGGGGGCAAUAACAGGUCUGUGAUGCCCUUAGAUGUCCUGGGCCGCACGCGCGCUACACUGACACACGCAACAAGCUUUCCCUUGCGAAAAGUCUGGGUUAUUUUGUAAAUGUGUGUCGUGAUGGGGAUAGAUUAUUGCAAUUAUUAAUCUUGAACGAGGAAUUCCUAGUAAAUGCGGGUCAUCAGCCCGCGUUGAUUACGUCCCUGCCCUUUGUACACACCGCCCGUCGCACCUACCGAUUGGGUGAUUCGGUGAAACCUUCGGAUUGCAACAAGACGCUCUCGGCCCCUCGGCCGCGGGAAGUUAUUACACCUUCAUCUUCUAGCGGACGGGGCUGUUUUUUAACA